rnacentral:misc_RNA from 1 species
AUUGCACGCCCAACGGCUUAAUUAUCUUGACAUCGGGUAUAAUUUGGGGUGCAAUACCUCGUGGUUGGGAAGUGAAGAAGCUGGGUUCGAUCGUCGUCUAACGAUCGAACGAUGAGGCGCCUAGCUGGCCGAACAUUGGACAGGAGGUCGCAUUCAAGCCGUAUCACACUUUUCGCGUUUCCCCGAGUUCCACCCUCGCGCGUCCUUCUGCUUUCGUCUGUUUCAUUCUCUACGGUGAUGCGGGCCUUUCUGAUCACGUUCUCGCCGGCUCCGCAUUGUUCGCUGCGUUUUUUUGUAUCUUUACUAUCCUCCGACCCGCCGACAUUCGCUCCAACCGCGCUCGCGCCUACAAUCACGGAGC